AGAGAGCGAGAGAAAGAGAGACUGUUAAAGGACAAAAGGAGUGAUCGAUCUGGAUUUAGAAAGAAGGAGAAGAGCGAUUUAAUUUUCGGUUUGUUUUGGCUUGGUCGGAGGAAUUUGAGGUUUACUGGUCGUGUUGGAAGGGGUGUGCCUGAAGAAGAGGUCAUUGUGAGACAGAGUAAAAGUCUGAUCUUUUAAUAUAUCGAAUAGCUGUAAAGGAUAUCGCUAGGCGUGCAUUACACUUUGUAGGAGAUAAAGCAUGUUGCCUCCAACAUAAAGGAUUCUGAAG